rnacentral:rRNA from 1 species
AGAGUUUGAUCCUGGCUCAGAUUGAACGCUGGCGGCAUGCUUUACACAUGCAAGUCGAACGGUAACAGGCCGCAAGGUGCUGACGAGUGGCGAACGGGUGAGUAAUGCAUCGGAACGUGCCCAAUCGUGGGGGAUAACGCAGCGAAAGCUGUGCUAAUACCGCAUACGAUCUAUGGAUGAAAGCGGGGGACUCGCAAGAGCCUCGCGCGAUUGGAGCGGCCGAUGUCAGAUUAGGUAGUUGGUGGGGUAAAGGCUCACCAAGCCAACGAUCUGUAGCUGGUCUGAGAGGACGACCAGCCACACUGGAACUGAGACACGGUCCAGACUCCUACGGGAGGCAGCAGUGGGGAAUUUUGGACAAUGGGCGCAAGCCUGAUCCAGCAAUGCCGCGUGCAGGAAGAAGGCCUUCGGGUUGUAAACUGCUUUUGUACGGAACGAAACGGUCUGGGUUAAUACCCUGGGCUAAUGACGGUACCGUAAGAAUAAGCACCGGCUAACUACGUGCCAGCAGCCGCGGUAAUACGUAGGGUGCGAGCGUUAAUCGGAAUUACUGGGCGUAAAGCGUGCGCAGGCGGUUUUGUAAGACAGUCGUGAAAUCCCCGGGCUCAACCUGGGAAUGGCGAUUGUGACUGCAAGGCUGGAGUGCGGCAGAGGGGGAUGGAAUUCCGCGUGUAGCAGUGAAAUGCGUAGAUAUGCGGAGGAACACCGAUGGCGAAGGCAAUCCCCUGGGCCUGCACUGACGCUCAUGCACGAAAGCGUGGGGAGCAAACAGGAUUAGAUACCCUGGUAGUCCACGCCCUAAACGAUGUCAACUGGUUGUUGGGUCUCUUCUGACUCAGUAACGAAGCUAACGCGUGAAGUGACCGCCUGG